rnacentral:tRNA from 1 species
GCGGUCGUGGCGGAAUUGGCAGACGCGCAUGCUUGAGGUGCAUGUGGGUAAACCCCCGUGGAGGUUCAAGUCCUCUCGACCGCACCA